rnacentral:rRNA from 1 species
UAGAUACCCUAUUAUUUGAAAUGUAUUUAUUUUACUAAAGUAGUAAUAGUUAUGUUCUUGAAACUUAAAAAAUUUGGCGGUAUUUUAGUCUAUUCAGAGGAACCUGUCCUAUAAUCGAUAAUCCACGUUGGACCUUACUUAAAUUUGUUUUCAGUAUGUAUACCGUCGUUAUAAGAAUAUUUUAUAAGAAUAAUAAUUUUCUAGAUUUUUUAUAAAAAUUUAUAUCAGAUCAAGGUGCAGCUUAUAUUUAAGUAGAGAUGGGUUACAAUAAUUUUAUUUAUACGGAUUAAUUUAUGAAAAAAAUUAUGAAGGUGGAUUUGAAUGUAAAAUUAUAAAGAUAAAUAAUUUGAUUUUAGCU